rnacentral:lncRNA from 1 species
UCUUUAUUGUGCAAACACUAAGCCAGUUUUACAAACAAGUCUAUAUAAAUAAGAAAAAAAUAAAUAAAAACAUCCAUUCAAACCUUACUUGAAAAUAAGCUCAGAAGCUCCAGUUUUGUCAAGAUAUCCCGAUAUGACUUUAAUAAUCACUUUAAUAUAUAUCCCUCACGUGACACAUCCUCAUGAAAUCAUUUUUUCUCCAUAAGAUUAUAAAUUUUCUUCUUCUGUCAAAGUGUCGUAGCUUUCCUUCACCUGGCCCCGGCCUCAUAAAAUCCCUCCCUUAUCAAAGCCCCGACGUAAAAUUCCUUCUAUUAUCACAAUCAUCAUAAAAAAAAAGCAUUUUCACGUAUAAAGAGUACAAAUAAAAUUCUGAACUGAAAAUUCCUCGCUGUCUCACUGAAAAGCCCCUGUCUCAUAGAGGUCCUUUUUUUCUUGACCCUCCCAAAAGAUAUUUUCCCUGCCGUCUGCCAUGCUUCCCCCAUGAACUAAGCCUAUCCAUCACUCAUUUUCCACCUCCAGUAUAUUCACACCUCAUUUCUCUUACCCAUCAACACCACCACUGUUGCAAGUGUCCUCAUAUUGACCCUGGACACCACAGGCCUCGCGGCUACAGCUACAGAGACGUAUGACACUGCUGAGAGAACCAGUGUGGAUUUCUCGUCUUAAUUAGAACGGUUCUAGGUCUGAUCUGUCGAUGUUUUUGUUGUUAUGCAAUCCUUCAAUCCUCCAGCUACGACAGACGUGGAUUCCUAGACAUGUCAUUGCAUUUGUGGAGGGGAACUUUUGUCCGCAAAGCAACAGCUCACUUUGCGUAAACCAUUCAGAGUUCGACCUUAUUCACUGUAUAGUGAAUAAGGGAUGAGGGAUCCAAGUACUGGUCGGUAAUCGGAAGGAGCCGGUUGUGGUUUGUAUAAUUUUUCUUAUAUUUGCUUUAUAUUGCAUAUCAAUUAAAUGUAUAUAUGUUAUUCUGUUUUUUUCAUUAUUACAUUAUCGGAGUGUCAAUGAUGGUGACCGGGUUUGACAUUUACAGUGAUGUGGUGAUUGUUUGGUUAUUAUAUAUUUAAUAUAAAGAUAAAUACUGAC